UUUUGACCAACUCGGGGAGACAGUCAGUCCGACUGCCUUUUCUGCUGAAGGUCGGCCGUCGGGUUGGUGUGUCAGAGCCUUAACGCUGAAAAUUAGUUCAAUUGAAUUCAAAUGUGAGGCCUUUCUCUCUCGUCUAACCCUCCUUCUCUUUUCUAGCUGUAUUUCUUGACAUACGCUGAACGGCCGUACAGCGGCAAGCUGGAUCCAACCUCGACUAUUAAAAAUGACUUUGAUGCAGGUAGUGUUUGAAUGCUUGUUGUUUUAAAUUACCUUGAUUUAACUGGAAAGUUGCAUUAAAAAUAAUCAGCACUGUUAUGGUGGCACUAAAAAGCAGUUUUAAUAGUAGUCAGCUCCUUUCCUCAGAGGCAUAAAUGGGGUAACUUUCAUUAAACAUUGAUGUGACCUACUAAGAGGCUCAUGGCUACCAAACCAAUCAUAUGUUCAAUCACUGUUUAAUAUUCAACUCAGCUCAAGAUGGGAAAACCCUGAGUGCAAAAGCCUGUUGUGGGCCAAACAAAUCACAUUUCUUUACUGCUGUCCAUGUAUAUAAUGUUUUAUUAUCAAGGGGCUUACUUGGGGGUUUUUAGUUCUUAAACUUUCAAUAAAAUUCUGCUCCAUUUCCCCAGUAAACGCCAUGUUGGUGAGUAAAAUGGACAGAUAAACCUGGUACUGUUUGCUGAAGGAUUCAAAAACACUUAACAGCUGUUGUGUCCAUAGAAAUAUGCAACCAGGCGGCCCUCGUGAAGCUGUUAAACUCUGAUCAGGUUCAGGUGAGGUGAGGGGAUCAUCCUAUAAACAGACUUCUGAACAUUUGUGCCAUUAACCUACUUUUUUAAAUUUAUCUUACCCACUGCUGCCAGUUCUCACUGUCAUAUUGUACAUACUGUAGCUCUUUAGGGUUGGUUUUGUAUCAUGUAAGCCACUUACAAAUGGCAGGUAUUUAUGUUGGGUGUCACCCAUUUCACAGUGGUUUAGUUUAUGACGUAGUCCAUGCAGCAAUAGUAGAUUUAAAGCUAUAGAUUGUUGCCAAAAAAUACUAUGAAACCAGUUAUCAGAAUAUGAGCCAUGCAGCAAUAAGAAAUGGCCCAUUCCCUCUAAAACCAUGAAAUUAUUAUCUGGUGAUAAGGAAUCCCGACGGUUAAUUUAAUCAAUAAUGUGGAUGAUUCUGAAACCACAAUAAAAUUGGAGUUUGUGUUGUGAUUUGAGAUGAAAAAUGUGGUUAAAGAUGUAAAUAGUAUCUUAAACAAAUGACUUUGACUAUCAUGUAAUUCUUUUUUUUUGUAUAGUAAUUUGUUUUUCUUUAAAUGCACCUCCAUGUUGAGGUUUUUACACUCGCACACCUGCACCCAAAAAUAUGCUACUGUAAAUGGGGCUUAAGGAAUGUUUUAUUUUUUUAUUAUUGGACUUUUUUCUGAAAAAGACAAUUUAAAAUUGGGCUUGACAUGAAGUAUAUAUUUCCGAGAACAUCUUAUCAGUGCUUUCCUCUUUAGGAGUUGGAAAUCCCCUGUUUGUUGUAACGCACUGAAACGCCUGUAAGUUACUGGGACAAUGUGGAAGUUGAUGGGCUCAUGACAAGUAUGAGUAAUGCCAAUGUCUGAUUGGAUUUCCUGUGCCAUAUUAAAGAAGUGUCCUGUUUUUCUUUUUUACAUGUUUUUUUUUAUGAAUCUAUGCAGCUUCAGUCUGGCAUUCCUGCAACUUCAUGGCCAUUUUGUUCUAAAGUCAAAAACAAUGAUCAUAAACAGAAGGUGUGAGCAUUUUGUAAGGACUUUUUUUGUUUGUUUCUUAUGUUACAGGAUUGAAAUGGGUAUCGUGCCACUUUAUGUUGAUCUUUAAAUGUGCAAUAAAUUAUAUUUCAAAUGUGUUUUGAUAA